rnacentral:rRNA from 1 species
CCUACGGGUGGCUGCAGUCGAGAAUCAUUCACAAUGGGGGAAACCCUGAUGGUGCGACGCCGCGUGGGGGAAUGAAGGUCUUCGGAUUGUAAACCCCUGUCAUGUGGGAGCAAAUUAAAAAGAUAGUACCACAAGAGGAAGAGACGGCUAACUCUGUGCCAGCAGCCGCGGUAAUACAGAGGUCUCAAGCGUUGUUCGGAAUCACUGGGCGUAAAGCGUGCGUAGGCUGUUUCGUAAGUCGUGUGUGAAAGGCGCGGGCUCAACCCGCGGACGGCACAUGAUACUGCGAGACUGGAGUGAUGGAGGGGGAACCGGAAUUCUCGGUGUAGCAGUGAAAUGCGUAGAUAUCGGGAGGAACACUCGUGGCGAAGGCGGGUUCCUGGACAUUAACUGACGCUGAGGCGCGAAGGCCAGGGGAGCGAAAGGGAUUAGAUACCCCUGUAGUC